rnacentral:rRNA from 1 species
UGGGGAAUAUUGCACAAUGGGCGCAAGCCUGAUGCAGCCAUGCCGCGUAUAUGAAGAAGGCCUUCGGGUUGUAAAGUACUUUCAGCGAGGAGGAAGGCGGUAAGGUUAAUAACCUUAUCGAUUGACGUUACUCGCAGAAGAAGCACCGGCUAACUCCGUGCCAGCAGCCGCGGUAAUACGGAGGGUGCAAGCGUUAAUCGGAAUUACUGGGCGUAAAGCGCACGCAGGCGGUCUGUCAAGUCGGAUGUGAAAUCCCCGGGCUCAACCUGGGAACUGCAUUCGAAACUGGCAGGCUAGAGUCUUGUAGAGGGGGGUAGAAUUCCAGGUGUAGCGGUGAAAUGCGUAGAGAUCUGGAGGGAUACCGGUGGCGAAGGCGGCCCCCUGGACAAAGACUGACGCUCAGGUGCGAAAGCGUGGGGAGCAAACA